rnacentral:lncRNA from 1 species
GGAGCGAAGAGGGGUCCCCUGCACCGGGAACCCGGCAGGUGGCUCGGCUGCGAUCCCCUGUAUCGCCGUCGCACGGGGAGGGCUGUGGCCUCUGACCCGAAGCAGGCCCUCGAGAGGAGCAUCAGGAGAACAGGGGGGAGCCUGGGGGCCCUGACCGCUGGCUCGUCCCAUCCCGGUCCCGGGAAGCGCGUGUGGGACCCAGAGGCCCGGCGGCCCGCGAGGGGACCCCUAUGCAGCAGGCACAGUGGUGCGGCCCGUGGGCUCCGUGGGGCAGGGGCACCCGGCACAGCCCCUGGUCGGGGAGGCCGCCGAGGCCGGGUCGGGGCGGAGGGGGGAGAGGCGCGGGUGGAAUGUUCUGCGGGUGCUGGGUCGGGCUGGCUUGCUUGCGCUCCAGGACCGCGCGGGAAGCAGCUGCACGCCCAGGCGGAGACGCAGAAAAGGGGACUUGAGGUGACAGGUAAGCAGCCAGGGUUCCCCGGGCCCCGAGCCACCCUGGGGGGACAGGUGGCCGGGGCUCCGCAGGACCUCACCCCGGGGCAGAGGGAGGCUCUGCAGGAAGCUCAUCGGCCUCGGCCUGGGAGGGGUGGCGCGAGCUGGCAGGCUCCGGGGAGGCCCAGGGCCGCGGCCACCAAGGGGCAGGGCGGCGACGGAGACGCUGUGGGGCCGGGGCGGCGUGGGGCACCAGCCUCUCCAGCCUCAGCCCAGACCAGAGCUGGCGCCGCCGGGACAAGGAGGACUCGCCGGCCGGCCUCGGUCCUAAGGCCACAGAGGGGUCCAGGCUGGAGGCGGCGCUGCCGGGGCCCCGGGGGUGCGGGGUGGACACCGGGGCCGCGAGGGCAGACAGGGAUGAGGCGCGGUGGAGGCGGGGUGCAGGGGUGGGCGGGCAGCAGGGGUGUGGGCCGCAGGCCAGCGGCGAGGUCGUCUGCAGCUGGGGCCGAGCAGGAGGUUGGGGCCUCGGCCCUUUGGGUCCCCACUGCUCCAGGGCAGGGUCUUUGGGUCACGUGUGUCCUAGGGUACACGGACCUACGUUAA